rnacentral:rRNA from 1 species
UACGUAGGGUGCAAGCGUUGUCCGGAAUUAUUGGGCGUAAAGAGCUCGUAGGCGGCUUGUCGCGUCGACUGUGAAAACCCGCGGCUCAACUGCGGGCCUGCAGUCGAUACGGGCAGGCUAGAGUUCGGUAGGGGAGACUGGAAUUCCUGGUGUAGCGGUGAAAUGCGCAGAUAUCAGGAGGAACACCUGUGGCGAAAGCGACUCUCUGGACGGCAACUGACGCUGAGGCACGAAAGCGUGGGGAGCAAACAGG